rnacentral:tRNA from 1 species
GAGUCUGUAGCUCAGUGGUAAAGCACUUGCCUCGCAUGCAUGAGGCACUGAGUUCAAUCCUCAGCAUCA